UAUCUCUGUAGAGUCUGCAUAUCAAUAAGCGGAGGAAAAGAAACUAACUAGGAUUCCCUUCAGUAACGGCGAGUGAAGCGGGAAGAGCUCAAAUUUGAAAUCUUCAAGGGUUCUACCUUGACGAAUUGUAGUUUAAAGAAGUGUUUUCUGUUGGAGUUUUGGUAAAAGUUCUUUGGAAUAGGACAUCAUAGAGGGUGAGAAUCCCGUAUUUGACCAUUAUUUCCAGCUUUAUGAUACACUUUCAAAGAGUCGGAUUGUUUGGGAAUGCAGUCCAAAAUGGGUGGUAAAUUUCAUCUAAAGCUAAAUACUUGGCGAGAGACCGAUAGCGAACAAGUACCGUGAGGGAAAGAUGAAAAGAACUUUGAAAAGAGAGUUAAACAGUACGUGAAAUUGUCAGAAGGGAAGCGUUUGACACCAGUGUUGUUUUCUCGAAAAUCAAUUAAAAAAGGCAGGAUUUUGUGUUGUAUUGACUUUAUCAGCUUUCUGCACUCUUUUCUUGUCUUUUUUAAUGCACUUUUCGUUUAACAAGUCAACAUCAAUUUCUUUUGUUGUAAAAGGGUCAUUGGAAGGUGGCUUUCUUCUCGGAGAAAGUGUUUAUAGCCUUUGGCCUCUGCAAUCGGAGAGAUUGAGGUCUGCAGCGUAGAUCCUUCGGGGUUAGAUACAUUUGUGCUAAGUUAUAGCCUUUCAUAGACAACUUGUUGACUAUGAUCAGUCAUGUAGCUUACUCGCUUAUGCUAUUUUACCUACGCUUAGGAUGUUGACGAUCAGCUGAGCGCG
rnacentral:rRNA from 1 species